CGCGUAGGCGGCAAGGCAAGUCAGAUGUGAAAUCCCCGGGCUCAACCUGGGAAUUGCAUCUGAAACUGCAGUGCUUGAGUCCGUGGAGGGGAUAGUGGAAUUCCCAGUGUAGCGGUGAAAUGCGUAGAUAUUGGGAGGAACACCUUGCGGCGAAGGCGGCUAUCUGGACAGUGACUGACGCUGAUGCGCGAAAGCCAGGGGAGCGAACG
rnacentral:rRNA from 1 species